rnacentral:rRNA from 1 species
AUUGAACGCUGGCGGAAUGCUUUACACAUGCAAGUCGAACGGCAGCACGGACUUCGGUCUGGUGGCGAGUGGCGAACGGGUGAGUAAUGUAUCGGAACGUGCCCAGUCGUGGGGGAUAACGUAGUGAAAAUUACGCUAAUACUGCAUACGAUCUAUGGAUGAAAGCGGGGGAUCGCAAGACCUCGCGCGAUUGGAGCGGCCGAUAUCAGAUUAGGUAGUUGGUGGGGUAAAGGCCCACCAAGCCAACGAUCUGUAGCUGGUCUGAGAGGACGGUCAGCCACACUGGAACGGAGAAACGGUCCAGACUCCGACGGGAGGCAGCAGUGGGGAAUUUUGGAAAAUGGGCGAAAGCCUGAUCCAGCCAUUCCGCGUGCAGGAUGAAGGCCCUCGGGUUGUAAACUGCUUUUGUACAGAACGAAAAGGUUUCUACUAAUACUAGGAGCUCAUGACGGUACUGUAGGAAUAAGCACCGGCUAACUACGUGCCAGCCGCCGCCGUAA